GUUAAAAAGCUCGUAGUUGGAUUUCUGCGGGGACGGGGCGGCCGGUCGCAACUUGCGACUCGAGCUAGCACUUUCCCCGCAUCCUGCCGCGAACCGUGCUACCAUUAGUUUGGUGGCGCCGGGGAUCGGCUCGAUUACUUUGAGAAAAAUAGAGUGUUCAAAGCAGGCCACACGCCUUGAAUAAGUUAGCAUGGAAUAAUGACUAAGGACUUUGGUUCUUUUCGUUGGUGUUCGGGACUGAAGUAAUGAUUGAUAGGGACAGUUGGGGCGGUCUGUAUUCCAAAGCGAGAGGUGAAAUUCUUAGACCUUCGGAAGACAAACAGCUGCGAAAGCGUUCCGCAAGGAUGUUCCCUUUGAUCAAGAACGAAAGUUGGGGGAUCGAAGACGAUCAGAUACCGUCGUAGUCUCAACUAUAAACUAUACCAGCUAGGGAUCGGCCAACGUUUAAUUAUUCGACUUGGUCGGCACCUUAUGAGAAAUCAAAGCAUCUGGGUUCCGGGGG
rnacentral:rRNA from 1 species